CUAGUAUUAUUUAUAUGUUCAAUACUUAUUUAUGCUGCCAGGUCCUCCCUCUCUGUAUCUAUAGUUGAAAUGGCCUCAGAAUUUGACUGGAAUAAAAGAACGUGUGGUAUCAUUCUCUCCUCAUUCUUCUGGGGUUACAGUGCUACUAGGUGAUAGGAGGACAGUUAGGUGAUAAAUAUGGUGGAGAGCUAGUACUGUGGACAUCAGCACUGGUUUGGGGUGGGGCAGUUCUAUCAAUAUCUUUUGUAGCUAGUAUAUCAACCACUUUAGUAUUUGGAGCUCAUCUCACUAAUGGACUUAGUCAAGGUGUGUAUUUCCCUGCUAUUGCU